rnacentral:rRNA from 1 species
UACGUAGGGUCCAAGCGUUAUCCGGAAUCACUGGGCGUAAAGCGUGCGUAGGUGGCGUGUUAAGUGUGAUGUUUAAAAUCGUGGGGCUCAACCCCUGUCGGUGCAUCACAUACUGGCAUGCUAGAGGACGGCAGAGGCAAGUGGAAUUUGUAGUGUAGCAGUGAAAUGCGUAGAUAUUACAAGGAACACCAAUGGCGAAGGCAGCUUGCUGGGCCACUCCUGACACUGAGGUACGAAAGCGUGGGGAGCGAACAGG